AGCAUGCCAAGUACGAGAGGAGAAACAGGUUCAGAUCUUUGGUUCAUGGACUUGACCGAUAGGUCAAUGGUCCGAAGCUAACAUUAUGACUGAACGCCUCUAGGUCAGAAUU
rnacentral:ncRNA from 1 species